CCUACGGGUGGCUGCAGUGAGGAAUAUUGGUCAAUGGGCGGAAGCCUGAACCAGCCAAGUCGCGUGAGGGAAUAAGGCCCUACGGGUCGUAAACCUCUUUUGCCGGGGCGCCCGGGCGGGGCCGUGUCCCGGCCCGGAGAGUACCCGGAGAAACAGCAUCGGCUAACUCCGUGCCAGCAGCCGCGGUAAUACGGCGGCUGCGCGCGUUCUCCGGCUUUAUUGGGUUUCAAGGGUGCGUCGGCGGGCUUUUCAGUCAGCGGUCCAAAUUCGGGGCUCAACCCCGUCCGGCCGUUGCCACUGGGGGCCUUGAGUGGGCGAGAAGAAGGCGGAAUGCGUGGUGUAGCGGUGAAAUGCAUAGAUAUCACGCAGAACCCCGAUUGCGAAGGCAGCCUUCCGGCGCCCUACUGACGCUGAGGCACGAAAGUGCGGGGAUCGAACAGGAUUAGAUACCCCUGUAGUC
rnacentral:rRNA from 1 species